UACGUAGGGGGCAAGCGUUGUCCGGAAUCAUUGGGCGUAAAGCGCGUGUAGGCGGUCCGGUAAGUCCGCUGUGAAAGUCGGGGGCUCAACCCUCGGAUGCCGGUGGAUACUGUCGGGCUUGAGUACGGAAGAGGCAAGUGGAAUUCCUGGUGUAGCGGUGAAAUGCGCAGAUAUCAGGAGGAACACCAAUUGCGAAGGCAGCUCGCUGGGACGUUACUGACGCUGAGGAGCGAAAGCGUGGGAGCGAACAGG
rnacentral:rRNA from 1 species